GAUGAACGCUAGCGGUAGGCCUAAUACAUGCAAGCCGGACGGUAACUUUUGUAGCAAUACGGAAGCUAGAGUGGCGUACGGGUGCGUAACACGUAUGCAACCUACCCUUUACUAGGGAGAGUAGCUCGGGGAAACCCGGGAAUUAACGUACCCCAUAAUACUGUUUUGAGGCAUCUUAGAAUAGUUAAAGAUUUAUCGGUAAAGGAUGGGCAUGCGUCUGAUUAGCUAGUUGGUGAGGUAACGGCUCACCAAGGCGAUGAUCAGUAGGGGAACUGAGAGGUUGAUCCCCCCACACUGGCACUGAGAUACGGGCCAGACUCCUACGGGAGGCAGCAGUAGGGAAUAUUGGUCAAUGGGUGGAAGCCUGAACCAGCCAUGCCGCGUGCAGGAAGACGGCCCUUCUGGGUUGUAAACUGCUUUUUAUCUGGGGAUAAAAUACCCUUGCGAGGAGACUGAAGGUACCAGAUGAAUAAGCCACGGCUAACUACGUGCCAGCAGCCGCGGUAAUACGUAGGUGGCAAGCGUUGUCCGGAUUCAUUGGGUUUAAAGGGUGCGUAGGCGGCCAUUUAAGUCAGUGCUGAAAUAUCACAGCUUAACUGUGAGGUGGCAUUGAUACUGGGUGGCUUGAGUGCUAGUGAGGCAGGCGGAAUUGACGGUGUAGCGGUGAAAUGCUUAGAUAUCGUCAAGAACACCGAUAGUGUAGACAGCUUGCCAGGGAGCAACUGACGCUGAGGCACGAAAAGUGUGGGGGAUCAAA
rnacentral:rRNA from 1 species